rnacentral:rRNA from 1 species
UACGUAGGGUGCAAACGUUGCUCGGAAUUAUUGGGCGUAAAGCGCACGUAGGCGGCUUAGCAAGUCGAAUGUGAAAUCCCUCGGCUCAACCAAGGAAGUGCAUCCGAAACUGCUGAGCUUGAGUACUUAAGAGGAUCGCGGAAUUCCCGGUGUAGAGGUGAAAUUCGUAGAUAUCGGGAGGAACACCAGUGGCGAAGGCGGCGAUCUGGGAAGAUACUGACGCUGAGGUGCGAAAGCGUGGGGAGCAAACAGG